UCGUAACAAGGUUUCCGUAGGUGAACCUGCGGAAGGAUCAUUACUAUAUGCCUUGGCGUUCCUACGCCGGCAACACCCUUGUCUAUGUGUACCGUACGUUGUUCCCUCGGCAGGGCCCUCCCUGCCACUGGGUCUCCACCAAAAAACUCUUUGCAGCAAAAGCAGUAUACCUGUCUGAUUGUGGGCAUCAAAACUAUUACAACUUUCAACAACGGAUCUCUUGGUUCUGGCAUCGAUGAAGAACGCAGCGAAAUGCGAUAAGUAGUGUGAAUUGCAGAAUUCAGUGAAUCAUCGAAUCUUUGAACGCACAUUGCGCCCCUUGGUAUUCCUUGGGGCAUGCCUGUUCGAGCGUCAUUGACACCCUCAAGCUGUGCUUGGUGUUGGGCGUCUGUUCCCGGCUUUCCCGGGGACUCGCCUCAAAGUCAUUGGCGGCGUGUUUCUGUCUGCUUUCCCGCGCAGCACUUUGCGCACCAUGGGAGGGAUUUUUUGGGCAAGGCACGCGCUCCAGAAAGCAAAGUCUUCUGUUGCUUGACCUCGAAUCAGGUAGGGAUACCCGCUGAACCUAAGCAUAUCU
rnacentral:misc_RNA from 1 species